UGUUGUUAUCGUUACCAGGACGCCGUGGGAGUUUGGAUUGGGAACCUGGGGAAUCCCGAGGGUCCGUGGGCGGAAGUCGCGGCCCCGGCGAGCCGUGUGCAGAGUUCUCUGCGGUGCCGUGUGAGAUCCCUGGGUCAGGCCAAGUCAUCCGUGCUGCUGAUUUUCUAGGACAACCAAGCUGAGUUCUGCUCGUCAGCUCUACUCAGCGGCUCCACAUGCUCACCCGAAUCCUGAGGAGAGCCGAGACCAAGAGUAGACACCACGGAGGACAUGUUGACCGACAUGAAUUUCUGCCAGAAGCCCCAGAGACUGGAAGCAGAGGAGCAGGAGGGGUCAUGUGAGAGAUUGGUAUCCUUUGAGGAUGUGACUGUGGACUUCAGCCAGGAGGAGUGGCAGCAGCUGAACUCUGCCCAGAGACACUUGUACCAGGAUGUGAUGCUGGAGAUCUACAGUCACCUCUUGGCAGUGGGGUAUCCCAGGCCAGAGGCCAUCCUCAGGAUGAAGGAAGUUCAUUUCCCACGUCAGAGGUGUCAGUGUCAAGGGGAAUCAGAGCAUGGCUCACCACAUCAAAUUUGUGUGAAAGCUGCAUUUCCAAAUGAUGUAUCAAGAGAAAUCACUAGACGUUCUGUUGUAGAGGAACUGUGGCAGGAUGGUGACCCUGCAAAGACAGAUCAGCAAAACCAGAUCCCACUCUUGAGUUCUGGUACUUUCUUCAACCAGAAAACACUGAUAAGUGACAAUAGUUAUGAGUGUGAAGCCACCGGGGGAUAUAUACCUUUAGGCCUCCACCUCAUUUCUACACAAAACAGAUCUCCAAAAUGUUGCUCAUUUGAAAAAACUUUGCAGCCUAACCCUAACCUUCAAGCAAAUAGUGAACAUCAAAGCAGUGCCCCAAAGCAGUCUAAUGGCAUUGUUGAAUCCUGUCAGUUCUUCAUACAAGGCCCUUCUAAUGCUGUGUGCACAGUUCCUAACAGAGAAGAGAAAACAUGCAAAGGUAAAGAGCUGGGGAAAGUUCUCAGCCCUAGGCAGCCACUUAGACAGCAUGAAAUUCCUUCUCAGGACAAGCCGGUUGCAUAUACCAAAUAUGGGAAAGUCUCCACUGCUAAGUCAGCUUUGUGUCAGCAGCAAAUAACCAACACUAUCGAGACACCUUUUAUUUGUCACAUAUGUGGAAAAUCCUUCCUUCAGAAAUAUGAGUUGAGUUCUCAUCCAGGAACAAACAGAGGAGAGACACCUUCUGAAUGUCCUGACUGUGCAAAAUCACUUACAAGUACAUCCAGCCUGCAGGUGUCUCGUGAAGUCCACACAAAGGAAAAACCUUACAAAUGCCAUGACUGUGGGAAAUCAUUCAGCUAUGCAUCCCACCUAAAGGUACAUCUUCGAAUACACACAGGUGAGAGACCUUACGUGUGUUCUGACUGUGGGAAGGCCUUUAGCCAAAAAUCAGUCCUCAGCACACAUGAGAGAAUUCACACUGGGGAGAAGCCUUACAUGUGUAGCCACUGUGGGGAAUUGUUUGUUUAUGCGUCAGAUCUGAAGAAGCACAGUCGGUCUCACACAGGGGAGAAGCCUUAUGAGUGCCCUGACUGUGGGAAGUUGUUCAGUAACAAGUCCCACCUGCCUGUGCAUCAUCGAAUUCACACUGGUGAGAAACCUUACACGUGCUGUGACUGUGGGAAAUCCUUCAGAAGAAAAUCCCACCUUAAAGUACACAAUCGAAUACACACUGGUGAGAAGCCUUACAUAUGCUCUGAUUGUGGGAAGGCCUUCAGCCACAGUUCAGUUCUCAGCACACAUCAGAGAAUUCACACUGGGGAGAGGCCUUACACUUGCAGUGACUGUGGGAAAGCCAUGUCAUCUAAAGCCCAACUGAAUGAGCAUCAGAGAAUCCACACAGUGUCUCUGCAGAUCUAUGGUCAUGCCACAUCAUCCAGACUGCAGUACUCGGGUGAUAUCACAGCUGACCUCUGCCCAGCAGCUCUGCUUAGAACCUCUAAUUGCCCACCCAGCUUCCAGCUCUUGUGGAAAUCAGGUCUUCUAGGAAGAGACACCAAGAGUGGAAACCAGUGAAGACAUGUCUGCUGAUGUGAAAUUCUCCCAAGAACCCUAGAUACUGGGAGCACAGGAGCAGGAUGGGUCAUGUGAGAGAUUGGUGUCAUUUGAUGAUGUGACUGUGAACUUCAGCCAGGAGGAGUGGCAGCAGCUGAACUCUGCCCAGAGAUGCCUGUACCAGGACGUGAUGCUGGAGAUCUACAGCUACCUCUUGGCAGUGGAGGGGAAUCUGGGCUUGACACUCCAUCACAGGAAGUUUCUGAGAAAGUUUCAGUUCAAAAUGAUACAGCAAGGGAAGUCACAAGAGGCGCUUCAUGGUAUUCGGUUUUACAAGAGCUGUGGCAGGAUAUUGGCCCUACAAAGAGAGAUUAGCAAAAUCAUAUCCCACAUUUGAGUCCUGAUACCUUCUUAAACAUGAAAAUACUGAGCACAGACAGCCUAUGUGAAUGUAAAGAGUUUGGGGAAACCAUUGCUUUUGUUCCUAACAAGAAGGACUUCCAAAAUGUUCAUUUGCAAAAGGAUUUGACCCUAACCUAGAAGCAAAUGGUCAGAAUCAAAACAGCAUCACCAAACAGCUUAAUGACACUAUUGCAUCUGCUCCACUCUGCACACAAGGCUCUUGUAAUACUGAAUGUAAGCUUGCUCAAAGGGAGAAAGCAUACAAAGAUAAUCAGUUUGGAAAAACUAAUCAUGAACAACCACUUCAGCAACAUGGAAGUCAGUCUCCAGAGAAACCCCUUGAGUGCACUAAAUGUGGAAAGGUCUUCAGUGGCAGGUCAGCUUUUCAUAAACACCAGAUCACACACACUAAGGAGAGACCGGCUAUCUGUCACCCAUGUGGGAUAGCCUUCCUCAAGAGAUAUGAGUUGACAUCCCAUCAAGGAACUCACAUAAGAGAGCAGAAGCCUCACAAAUGUCCUGACUGUGGGAGAUGUUUCACUCGUAUAUCCCACCUGCUGUUGCAUAAUCCAGUUCACAAUGGGGAGAAGCCUCAUUCAUGUCCAGACUGUGGGAGAUUAUUUCAUCGAAAAUCCCACCUGCAGGUCCAUCAUCGAAUUCACACUGGGGAGAAACCUUAUGAAUGUUGUGACUGUGGGAAGUUAUUUGGUAAUAGAACCCACUUGAAGAUACAUAAUUGAAUUCAUACUUCUGAGAGACCUUAUGUGUGUUCUGCAUGUGGGAAGACCUUCAACCAGAAGUCAAUCCUCAGCACACACCAGCGAAUUCACACAGGGCAGAAACCCUGCAAAUGUCGUGGCUGUGGGAAAGCUUACUCUGCUAAGGCCCAGCUCUAAGUACAUGAAAGAAUUCACACAGGAGAGAAACCCUAUGUGUGCACAGAAUAUAGGAAGGCCUUUAGCGACAGGUCAGGUUUCCAUACACAUAAGAUGACUCAUAUUAAGGAUAGACCUUUUGUAUGUAAAAAAUGUGGGAAAUAAUUUCUCCAGAAAUCAGAGUUGACAUCCCAUCAUUAGACUCACGUUGGGGAGAAACCUUAUAACUGUCAGGACUGUGGAAAAUCAUUUAGUAAAACAUCCCAUGUGAAAGUGCAACAUUGCAUUCACACAGGGGAGAGACCUUUCGUGUGUUCUGAAUGUGGAAAACCAUCUUCUGGAAAUUAUCUCUCAAUCUACAGCAGAAAAUUCAUACUGGAGAAAAACACCACAUAUGUAAUGAGUGUGGGAAAGCCUUUAAUCAGAAGUCGGUACUCAGAAUGCAUCAGAGAAUUCACACUGGUGAGAAGCCUUAUAAAUGUAACUGUGGGAAAGCCUUGACUUCUAAGAGCCAACUCAAAGAUCACCAGGAAGUUCACACAGGUGAGAAACCAUAUGUGUGUCCCUAAUGUAGGAAGGCUUUCAGUAGCAGGUCAUCUUUGCGGAGACAUUGCUUAACACACUAGGGAGAGACUGUCACAAAUGAGAAAAGCCCUUCUUGUAGAAGUCAGAAUUGUCAUCGGCAGCAGCCACAUUGGAGAGAAGCCUUAGGAAUGCUAUUGCUGUGGGAAACUGUUCCACAACGCAUAGCAAGUUUGAGGAGAAUUGUUACUAUCACAGCAACUGUGGUUAGUUAUUUAGCAAUGUAUCGCAACUAAUGGUGCAUCAUCAAAUUUAUUACAUGCUGAUACUGCAUUUUCAACUUGGAAAUAUCUUCCAUUGGAGAUUUCAUACAGCAGAGAAGCCUCAAAAUACAGUGGCUAUAAAAGUUUCUCCAGUUAUGCAUCACUGAGUUCACAUGUAAGAGAAACCCUUUGUGUGCACUGAUUGUAGGAAGGCCUUCCAUCAGAAGUCAACAUUUAGCACACAUCUGAGAUAAGACUUUUCAUUGCCACGCCUGGGAAGUUCUUAAGUGAUGCAUCCUGACUGAGCAUGGUUUUAUAACAGUACCUUAUGUACUGAAUGUGGGCCUUCAACAACAGAUCGAAAUGCAAUAGACACCAGGCAACUCAUACCAGGAGCAGUUCUUGGGCCAGUUCCCUGUGGCAGACCAGCCCCCACCAUUAUUUACCCCAGGGACUCUUGAAAAAUGAGGGAUAAGAGACUUAAUUAGAAAUAGAGGGGAGAGAAAACACAGGAUAGACUUGAGUGGGCCUGGAUCCUUAUCCAAACGAGCCCAGAACUUUAUUCCAAAGGUCUAUUUAUAACAAUGUCAAGGGGUGGAGCAAAAGCCCUCCCCCUUGCUAGUUACAGUCAAGUGUAGAAACACUUAGAAAAGAUUUUUUAGCUAAACUAUUAACACCAGAAAUACGCAAAUCAUUUCUGAAGUUCAGAGUUUAGUCAGCUUUGAUAUUAUUCUAAAAGUUCUUGAAAGUUUGAAGCAAGAUUUGUCAACACUGGGAUUUAGUGAGUGCUCUUGUUAUGGAGUUGUAACACUUGUUGCUAGGGAGCUGUAACAUUCUCGGAACAAAGCCGCACAAAGUUACCUUUCUUGCCAAGCUCUCUCAGCCAUUCCGAACCACAGAGAUGUGCUCUCAGCAGUAAAUGGUUUCUAACUAUUACCCAAAUUCAUAAUAGCUUCCCUGUGCCGUAAUUCAGACAAACGUUUCUGUUACAGCAGAAAAGCUACCAUAAAGCCUCAUCUUAGGCUGAGGGUGAAAUUCCCGUAUUGAACUGCCGUGAAGCUCUUAGCAAAAAUUUCUUGCACAGCUAUUAGACCAUAUAAGGCACUGUUUCAAACUUGCAUUGAUAUUAAAUUUCCCAGAAAGCCUUUCGGGUACACUAGCAAACUUUCUGGUUCCCUUUCCAGAGUUUCGCUUUUGCACUGGGAGAUUUUUCUUUCCUAAGCUUGCUUUAGAAUGAAUGCCUGUGCCACCAUUUAACAGGUAUACCUCUAUGCUUAGAUCUUUUCUCUGACCCAGUUCCUGAGCAGUUUUGUAUCCAUUUGUCUGCACACUCAGGCUGCAGCGUAUUGCCUGAGGCAAAACCCUUAGGGCUUUAUUCUGGGUCAGUGAAGCAAACCAAAAGCAUUUGUUUCAGAAAGGUCCUUUCUCUGAUGGAAAAGAAAGCUUCUCUCCUGGAUAGCUCCCUGUUCUUUCCCUGCCCUGCUCCUUCCAGAUAGUGCAGCUGCAGCUUGGCUUCCCUGCCUCAUCAGGCAUUAUUUAUCCCAGGGACUCUUGAAGAAUGAGGGAUAAGAGACUUAGGAAAUAGAGGGGAGAGAAAACACAGGAUAGACUUGAGUGGGCCUGGAUCCUUAUCCAAACGAGCCCAGAACUGCCUCAUCAGGCCCUGGCCUCAGGGGAAUUUUCCCGUCCAGGUGAAACUAAUUUUUCCUUACAGAAAGCAAACCAGAAAGUUCUGAAAGGCUUUUAAGUUUUUUAUGUUUUUCCCAAGAGAAAGAAAGACCAUCAAGUUUUCCCAAAUCUUCUGUUCUCUAAACUUUGGCUUCUGUGGCCAAGAGGGAACUAAUUCCCGGUUACAAUGUUGCACUGCUCACUGCUGGCAGAGCAGAGGAUUUUUGUUUCCAUCUGCACCCGCUGCAGGGGGAAUCUCUUUCCUCUGCUGCUUGGACCUAGCAUUUUAGCUGACCCCAGGCCAAAAGCUUCCAUAGGAAUCUUUUUUCUACCUGAUACGCUCAAAAAAGACAUAUAUAUAUUUCUGCCCAUUAAGUUCAAAGAAGAUAGAUUUUUUCCUGCCCAUUAAGUUUAAAGAAGAUGGAUUUUUUCCCAGUUUGCAUUCAUAGCCCCCAACAUUAGAAGAUUGAAGACUGCCGGGCGGUGGUGGCGCACGCCUUUAAUCCCAGCACUCGGGAGGCAGAGCCAGGCGGAUCUCUGUGAGUUCGAGGCCAGCCUGGGCUACCAAGUGAGUCAAGUGAGUUCCAGGAAAGGCGCAAAGCUACACAGAGAAACCCUGUCUCGAAAAACAAAAAACAAAACAAAAAAAAAAAGAUUGAAGACUUAGUUUCUCUAUCUAGUUGCCUAACUUAUCUUAAGUAAAUUUUUUCUACACUACCUUACACUUUUAAGUUUUUCCUACACUAUAUUGCUACACUCUACCUUCCUAAUUUUUCAUAGAUAGGGAAGAGAGAGAGAGAGAGAGAGAGAGAGAGAAAUCUAAUGCUGUAGCCUUGCGGUAUUUCACCACCUACCUAUACACUCGAGAAUAAAAUACCAUUGCCUUCAUUUUUCAAUUCCUUAUUGGCAUGCCUACACUUGCAAACACCCCCACAAUCCUUUUGCCAAGUCCUAGGGUUAUUUUUUUCCUUUUUAUCUUUUUCUUUGUCUCUGUUCAGGCGCCAUCUGUAGAGGACCAGCCGCCACCAUUAUUUACCCCAGGGACUCUUGAAGAAUGAAGAAUAAACACAGGAUAGACUUGAGUGGGCCUGGAUCCUUAUCCAAAUGGGUCCAGAACUUUAUUCCAAAGGUCUGUUUAUAACAAUGCCAAGGGGUGGAGCAAAAGCCCUCCCCCUUGAUAGUUACAGUCAAGUGUAGACCCUUACAAACACCUGGUACCCAGGCCCAUGGUCCAAUCAACCUCUUAUUCAGUCCUGCUGGGUACAGCCACUAAGAAACCUAGUGGUCUAAAACAGGUCCCUGAACCCAAAAUGAUUUUAUGUGUUGUAGGCUCAACCUCAGACAUCAGGAUAUUUGGGCUGAUCCUCUUCACUGACAUCCACAGAGCUGACCUGGCUGAGGUUGGAGUAGAUACCCUCAUUUGGAAUUUCUGAGCAAGAGACCUGGACCAACUCUUCUCUCACCUUUGGGCUGUCUUGUAUUAAGAGGUACAAAAAAAUGAGAUGAAGUCUGGAUGGGUGAUAGUUUUGCUAAAGGAAUGCCCCCACAACUGACACAUGUACCCCCAGAAAUGGCCACAGGAGGCCCUGUGGUGUUCUGUUCUUAGGACACAAGGUCCUUCCCUUUGCAGCCCUCUCACUUUUAUGCAGAGCACUACAGGGCCCAGUCUAGUCCCUUGCAUGCAGCUUUUUCUGUUGCAGAUGCCACAGAGGAGAGGCUAGUCCAAAGCUACUCAGUGCCAUGCUACCUUUGUGAAGGGAGUAGCUGCCCUGUGCAGAUGUGUACCCACUUUUCUUCUAGCCUAGCCCCCUCCAAGCCCACCAGUGAGCUGUUCUGCUCUAGGGAAUAACUCAACAUUUAGAAUUAUCUGUUGUGAUCUGUAGAGUGGGGCUCAUGUUUAGAUCAGACUUGACUUGUAGUGCUUGAACAGCAUGUAUAGACAAGGGUAUGUCAAGCUCAGCAUUAGGUGCUAAGACUAGACCAUGUUUUCACAGCUCCAGUAUCCAGCGUGGAGAUCACACACCACUUGUAUGUGUUUCUGCAUGUUUCCUCCACCACUGAGUACUAGGAAACCUUAGUGGUUUCCAUAUUAGUGGUCUUCUGUAUAAUGUAUCCUUGAUGUACCUGUCUGUACAACCUUCCAUCACACCAGUUUGAUGAGAGCAGGACUCAGCUCCUCUGUUGUGCCCCUUAGCACUAGGGAUCCAGUACUGGGUACCUGACCCUCACAUCCUCCGUGUUCUAGGGACUGUAUGCUUAUCCAAGGAAGAGAAGACAGGACCUGAGAAGCGGGCUAGCAUUUUUCCCCAGCUAGCCAUACCUCAGAUAGGCACCACAGGUCCCCAACCCUGACCCAGCAACCAAAGAGACACAUUUAUCUGGAUUAUUUUCUCCGUGGUUGUACUAGCUCCAAGGAAUGUUUCUUGAAAGGUGAGAUUGGUUGUAAUCUUGAAUUGUGGGGAGAGCUGACAUCAGACAUUCCCUGCUCACAGACCCAGAGCACAGAUAAUAUUAGGUUCCCGGCCCAGCCAGCCUCCAGGGCUUCUGGGAUGUGGAUGAGGGCUAGUAAGAGGGUGACAUGCAGGAUCAAGAGUGGAACCAGGUGCUGUAAGCCCCUGAUGUUCUGCCCUUUGCCAGUCCCAGGACAGGGUUCCAUACCAGCCUUCCAGUACAGCUCCUAUGACCUCCCAGAGCCUGUGACUUACCUGCUACAUGCACAGACGUCUGCUCCAGUAGUUCCAUUUGAAGCCUCUUCUUCUUCUUUUUUUUUUUUCUGCCCCCUUUCUUCUGCCAUUAUCUCCUGUGAAACUCUGGUAUCCACAGAGAAAAGGUGGAAUUUGCCCUGGGCAGUGUGAUUAUGGCCACCAAAGUCUUAUCCUAUCAAUCCUUGCAUGAAUCAGUUGCCAGAGACAGACACAGUGCAAAAUAGAGGCAUGGUAUAGGAUGAUCAGUGGGGCUCAAAGAAUGGAAUGGUUGCUGUUUCUGAUAUUUUGAUAGGGAAUUAUAGAUUCCACGUCAGAAGCCAUGUGGGGAGAUGAGGCUCAGCUUGACUCAGAGCCUAUAACCCCUGUUCCCAAGCCCACUCACCUGCCUGGAACAGGCCCAUCAGCAUCAUGGUGGGAGGUGUCUGGGUCCUGGGCUCGUAUGAGGGAUGACCACAGCAAGGGCAUACUGUAGGGCUGGAGAUGCCGUGAGAGAGUCCGAGUCCUUGUUCAUAGAAGGCAAACCCCCGAUCCACAGGUGGCAAAAUCAUAUGCAGGGAAUAGAAAAACACCUCGGAGCCAGAGGCCAGAGAGAUGUUAGAGGCAUUCUUGGAGAAGGAGUAGAGAAUAUGCUGUGCUCCCACCUCGCACUUCUCCGGAUAGUGGGGUCUGAAUCAGACAUUUUUCCUGAUUCACAAGCUGUUGACAGUUUUUUAAAGAUCUUCAGACUGCCUUGAGAGUCCCUUCAGGCCUGGGAGAUGGGACAAUGUGUGAGAACAUUCUAUUUUUUACACCUUGUGGAAGAUGUGGUUGAGCUCCUUCCAUUUAUUGGGUAGAGCUCACACUGUACAACAUUCUACAGCACACAGGGCCUCACCAGCCAAAAGUCAUCAAGUCUCAACUCGUAUCGACAAUCAGAAGCCCGAGAGGUGCUGCAGUAGACCCCAAAGGCUGUCAGAUACACACGGAUGAAGGUUCAGUGUGGGGAUUUAGGAACAUGAAAGAUAGUAGUGGCCGUGGGUGAAAUGUUGACUGUUUCCUCAGUCAGCAUUUACUGUGAGCUGGGGCUGAGUCAAAUGCAGGAAACUACUGAUGUCCUUGAGGUUGUGUCCAUGCUAGGAGAGCCAGACAAAUGCCAGCGUGGGCCAGGCCAGAGGGGCUGUGCUGUGUCAUGAUUUCUUCUGUAUUAAAACAUCCCAUCCUGGAGCAAAGCUCCUGAAGACUUAGGAAGUUUUGAUGGGAGGCUCAUCCAGACCUGGGAAGUAAAGAACACGUGAGUCUUCGGAAAUACCCGAACCUGACCAGAUGUACAAUGUGCCUUCCUCCCUAAGCUGAUAUAAGCAGUAAGGACUGCCGAGGAAACAGACUAGCCAAGCUGCUUGGAAGAGACAUUCUCCAACUUGUGGAAUGACCUGCCCAGGAUACAGUAAGUGACAGCUGCAGUUUUUGUGAACCAGUGCCCAUGCGGGAGUGGGCUUUCAGGGAUGCACUGCCUUUGAGACACUUCUCCUGUAAUUAACCCCAAUAAACGCAUUGGUUCACCAUGUUGUA